rnacentral:rRNA from 1 species
CCCUUAGAUGUUCUGGGCCGCACGCGUGCUACACUGAGUGGAUCAGCGGGUCAGGUUGCGCGAAAGCGUUUCCUAAUCUUGAAAUCCGCUCGUGAUGGGGAUUGACGGUUGCAAUUUUCUGUCAUGAACGAGGAAUACCUUGUAAGCGCGAGUCAUCAUCCCGCGCUGAAUACGUCCCUGCCCUUUGUACACACCGCUCGUCGCUCCUACCGAUUGAGUGGUCCGGUGAGGCUUUGGGAUCUGAGCGGAAAGAGCGUUUCGCUCGUUCUGCCCGGAAAACUCAGUCGAACCUUAUCAUUUAGAGGAAGGAGAAGUCGUAACA